rnacentral:rRNA from 1 species
AACGAACGCUGGCGGCAGGCCUAACACAUGCAAGUCGAACGCCGUAGCAAUACGGAGUGGCAGACGGGUGAGUAACGCGUGGGAACCUUCCCUAUGGUUCGGAAUAGCUCAGGGAAACCUGGGGUAAUACCGGAUAAGCCCUUCGGGGGAAAGAUUUAUCGCCAUUGGAUGGGCCCGCGUAGGAUUAGCUAGUUGGUGAGGUAAUGGCUCACCAAGGCGACGAUCCUUAGCUGGUCUGAGAGGAUGAUCAGCCACACUGGGACUGAGACACGGCCCAGACUCCUACGGGAGGCAGCAGUGGGGAAUAUUGGACAAUGGGCGAAAGCCUGAUCCAGCCAUGCCGCGUGAGUGACGAAGGCCUUAGGGUUGUAAAGCUCUUUUGGCGGGGAAGAUAAUGACGGUACCCGCAGAAUAAGCUCCGGCUAACUUCGUGCCAGCAGCCGCGGUAAGAC